rnacentral:tRNA from 1 species
CUUGAGGAUGGGUUCGAUCCCCUUCUCUCUAG